rnacentral:lncRNA from 1 species
GACGUGCCACUAAUGCUUAUGGAAUCCGCCGGACCGAAUCCAGUAAUCCAUGUCUUCAAAAUUUCAAAACCUCCAAAUAUAAACCUUGAGAAAUCAACGGCAAAACCUAGACGGCUAGACCGAAGAACGAUGGCGGAGGUCGGAGCUGAUGCGGUGGCGACUGGCGUUGAAGAAUGAAGCGUGGAUUGCUUGUAUACUG